CGGCAGAAGAGGAAUGUUUUUAUCCUGUUCUUUCCUCUCUUUCCUUAGCCGCUAUUUCAGUACUACUUAUUCUAACAAAAACUCACUCUGUAUUUUCAGGAACUAGCACCAUGAAAGUGAAGAGCAGGAUUUAAAAAAGAUUAAUGGUGAUGAUGACAAGAAGCAUGACGAACAGAAGAGGAAGAAGCUAAAAAUAGAGGAAUGAUCAAGUUAAGUUACCCUUACAUAUUGUAGUUAUGAGAAAAGGAAGUCUUGCACUAUUUACCAAAUUAAUUUCUGCAAGUAUUGUUUUUCCUUAAAAAGUGCCUUUACUACCUGCAUAUUCCCAUUUUGAAAAGGAUUUCGAAUGUUUACAACACAAAGAUGGCUACCAGUUUGAGUCAUACUCUCUGAAUCAAUACUCCAUUUUUACUUCAUCAAAGUGUAGUGGAGGUUUGAUGACAAACUUUACAUCCAUACAAUUAUUUCAUAGAUAAUUAGGCAAUUCUUAUAGUUUGAAGUAGUAGAGUUCUUUUUUUAUUUGAAAUGCCAAUAGUGUUUCCUUAUUUUUCCUCUAUGUGGCAGGACUACACAGCUAGCACCAAGGAAACAAAAUGGAAGGAUAUUUUGGUGUACAUGGCACACAAAUGUGGACCAGACCGCUGCUUUUGCUUAUAGUUUUGGAUACAACUUCGGUUAAUUGAUGCUCUUACUACGUAUCUUUUGGUCGAAAACAUAGCUUUCGACAGCGCAGAAUAUUUGGUCACUGCCUCAGCUGAGGCAUACUACAUUAGUUUCUGUAAUGUCGAGGUUGUAAGCAACAUGCAGUGUUGAGAAUUUCUCACUACCCAAAAUGUUUCCAUACUUCUUCAGUUAAUCAAUAACCCGAUAACUGACACCAGUUAUAA